rnacentral:rRNA from 1 species
UACGUAGGGUGCCAGCGUUGUUCGGAAUUACUGGGCGUAAAGGGUUCGUAGGCGGUCCGGCAAGUUGGGUGUGAAAUCUCUGGGCUUAACCCAGAGGCUGCUUCCAAAACUGCUGUGCUUGAGUGUGGGAGAGGCGCGUGGAAUUGCAGGUGUAGCGGUGAAAUGCGUAGAUAUCUGCAGGAACACCCGUGGCGAAAGCGGCGCGCUGGACCACUACUGACGCUGAGGAACGAAAGCUAGGGGAGCAAACAGG